UACGGGGGGGGGCAAGCGUUGUUCGGAAUUACUGGGCGUAAAGGGCUCGUAGGCGGCCAACUAAGUCAGACGUGAAAUCCCUCGGCUUAACCGGGGAACUGCGUCUGAUACUGGAUGGCUUGAGUUUGGGAGAGGGAUGCGGAAUUCCAGGUGUAGCGGUGAAAUGCGUAGAGAUGUGGAGGAACACCUGUGGCGAAGGCGCCUUGCUGGCCGAUUUCUGACGCUGAGGCGCGAAAGCGUGGGGAGCAAACAGG
rnacentral:rRNA from 1 species